rnacentral:misc_RNA from 1 species
AGAACCUCUUCCGCAUGUACGAGAAGCUGGCGGGCAUGACAGGCACGGCCGAUACGGAAGCCGGAGAGUUUGCGAAAAUCUACAAUUUGGACGUCCUGAUCGCGCCCACGAACCGGCCCAAUAUCAGGCAGGAUUUCGCGGAUGUGGUGUACCGGACGGAGAAGGAAAAAUUCAACGCCAUCGUCGAAGACAUCGCGGAUUGCCAUAAGCGGGGCCAACCGGUGUUGGUCGGCACCAUCUCGAUCGAGAAGUCCGAACGGCUCG